rnacentral:ncRNA from 2 species
GUGAAAUGUUAGGGGUGCUAUCCUAAAAAGGAUGGCUGAGAACAAACCCUUGAACCUGAAACGGGUAAUACCGGCGGAGGAAAACAUGAAAAUUUCUCA